GCCACCAGUACCAACACCACUUCCUCUUCCACGAUCACGAUCUCUUUCUCUCUCCCUUUCGCGAUCACGCUCUCCACCUCUCUCCCGGUCAGAAUAUGGUCUUGAGUUGGAAGAAGAAUGAUGUUCUCCGCCCGAAGGUGCGGUGGUACGUAGCGACCCCCACUUGGUUGGCGGGAGCCCUGCAAGUCCAGACCAGCUAACUAAAACAUAAAAUGCAAAUUUUUGAAAUCAUUGUUAUUUGUAUGCAUAUUGCAAUUACAAUCGUAUAUGCCCACGAUCAUUUACGUUCAAAUAAAAGGUAGAAACAUCAUGUUACGAAAUAUACGAUACAUUGUUCAGAGAUGAAAAAAUCAUGAGUAUUAAAUUGUAAUUUAAGAACAUGAAAA